rnacentral:rRNA from 1 species
ACGGGUGAGGAACACGUAGGAAUCUACCCUCGAGCGGGGGACAACCAAGGGAAACUUUGGCUAAUACCGCAUAAUCUCGAGAGAGUAAAGCUGCUCGCAAGGGUGGCACUCGAGGAGGAGCCUGCGUCCGAUUAGCUAGUUGGUAGGGUAAAAGCCUACCAAGGCGAUGAUCGGUAACUGGUCUGAGAGGACGACCAGUCACACUGGGACUGAGACACGGCCCAGACUCCUACGGGAGGCAGCAGUGGGGAAUAUUGGACAAUGGGGGCAACCCUGAUCCAGCGAUGCCGCGUGAGUGAAGAAGGCCUUCGGGUCGUAAAGCUCUUUAGGUUGGGAAGAAGGUUGGUGGAGGAAAUGCUGCCAACUUGACGGUACCGACAGAAUAAGCACCGGCAAACUCUGUGCCAGCAGCCGCGGUAAUACAGAGGGUGCAAGCGUUAAUCGGAAUUACUGGGCGUAAAGGGCGCGUAGGCGGUAAGACAUGUGUGAUGUGAAAGCCCCGGGCUUAACCUGGGAAGUGCAUCGCAAACUGUCUAACUGGAGUAUAUGAGAGGGUGGCGGAAUUUCCGGUGUAGCG